AACACAGCUCAUGUCUUUCAGCACAGUCCACUGUGUCCCAGAGAACCAACUAUACUAGCAGAACAUGAAUGUCUGAGCAUGUUGGUUAGAUGUGACAGAUCAGGUUCACACCCUCAGAGACCUAUUUGCCUUUACUCUUUCUUCAGAUAGCUCAGCUUCCAGGUUCUCCCAGUGUAUUUUCUUCUUUAUCACAGUUGCUGUAAGCAAUGCAGUGCAAGUGCACUGCAAGUGCUAGGAAGGGAAGAGGCAUGCUUUAAAUAUUAUAAGCCUGAAGGCUUAUAAAUUUUUUCUAAUCAAUCAGGGCUGUUUGCAGCCUGUAAUUUCUUGCUCAUUUAAACAAAGAAAGGAAGGAGAUCAUUUGGGAGGAUGAAGGAAAUAAUACAUCAGGAAACAAUAAUCAGACCAAAAGUCUGAAUGAAAUUCACUAAAGAAGAUUUUGCCUUUUU